rnacentral:sRNA from 1 species
CGCAAGACUCCCGUAACCACUGUGAACCUACCUCAAGUCGUUGCCUCGGCGGGUGCUCAGGACUGUGUCUAGGGCGCUCCGCCCGCCGGUGGCCCACUACUCUGUCUCGCGCGUUGGCAUCUCCGAGUCAUUUUAACGAGUCAAAACUUUCAACAACGGAUCUCUUGGUUCUGGCAUCGAUGAAGAACGCAGCGAAAUGCGAUAAGUAAUGUGAAUUGCAGAAUUCAGUGAAUCAUCGAAUCUUUGAACGCACAUUGCGCCCGCCAGUAUCCUGGCGGGCAUGCCUGUUCGAGCGUCAUUUCAACCCUCAGGCUCUGCCUGGCGUUGGGGGCCUGCGCUGCAGCCCCCUAAAGACAGCGGCGGGUGCGCCCUGAAACUGAACGUAGUAUUGUAUCUCGUUCUGGUGCAGGGCGUACUCCGGCCGGAAAACCCUUCUAUGGUUGACCUCGGAUCAGGUAGGAAUACCCGCUGAACUUAAGCAUAUCAAUAA